rnacentral:rRNA from 1 species
AUUGAACGCUGGCGACAGGCCUAACACAUGCAAGUCGAACGAGUGGCGGACGGGUGAGUAAUGUCUGGGAAACUGCCUGAUGGAGGGGGAUAACUAAUGGAAACGGUAGCUAAUACCGCAUAACAUCGGAUGUGACCAGAUGGGAUUAGCUAGUAGGUGGGGUAACGGCUCACCUAGGCGACGAUCCCUAGCUGGUCUGCGAGGAUGACCAGCAACACUGGAACGUAGUCACGGUCCAGACGCCUAUGGGAGGCAGCAGGGGGGAAUAUUGCACAAUGGGGGCAAGCCUGAUGAAGCCAUGCAGCGUGUAUGAAGAAGGCCUUCGGGUUGUAAAGUACUUUCAGCGGGGAGGCGUUACCCGCAGAAGAAGCACCGGCUAACUCCGUGCCAGUCGCCGCGGUAAUUC